CGAAGGGCAUGCCUGUUCGAGCGUCAUUUCACCAAUCAAGCCUGGCUUGGUGUUGGGCCCCGGGGGUGACCCGGGCCCCAAUGUCCGCCGGCCGGACGACCCGGACCUCAGCGUUAUGGCACUGUAAAGUCCCGCUGGAGGGGAAGGGUUGGCCGCGCCGUCAACGAAAACACUUCUGAAAGGUUGACCUCGGAUCAGGUAGGGAUACCCGCUGAACUUAAGCAUAUCAAUAAGCGGAGGAAAAGAAACCAACAGGGAUUGCCCUAGUAACGGCGAGUGAAGCGGCAACAGCUCAAAUUUGAAAUCUGGCGCAAGCCCGAAUUGUAAUUUGUAGAGGAUGCUUCGAGGCAGCGGCCGGUCUAAGUUCCUUGGAACAGGACGUCAUAGAGGGUGAGAAUCCCGUACGUGACUGGUUGGCACCUCACACGUAGCUCCUUCGACGAGUCGAGUUGUUUGGGAAUGCAGCUCUAAAUGGGAGGUAAAUUCCUUCUAAAGCUAAAUACCGGCCAGAGACCGAUAGCGCACAAGUAGAGUGAUCGAAAGAUGAAAAGCACUUUGGAAAGAGAGUUAAAAAGCACGUGAAAUUGUUGAAAGGGAAGCGCUUGCAACCAGACUUGACGGCGGCGUUCAACCGGUCUUCUGACCGGCCCACUCGUCGCCGGCAGGCCAGCAUCGUCUUGGGCCGCCGGAGAAAGGCGUGAGGAAUGUGGCUCCUCCGGGAGUGUUAUAGCCUCGCGCACAAUACGGCGCGCCUGGGGCGAGGUCCGCGCU
rnacentral:rRNA from 1 species